rnacentral:rRNA from 1 species
CCUACGGGAGGCAGCAGUAGGAAAUACUUCGGCAAUGGACGGAAGUCUGACCGAGCAACGCCGCGUGAGUGAAGAAGGUUUUCGGAUCGUAAAGCUCUGUUAUUAGGGAAGAACAAACGU